rnacentral:rRNA from 1 species
CGUACGUAGAGUGUAAAGGCAAAAGAGAGCUUGAUUGCAAGACAUACAGGUCGAGCAAGGAUGAAAAUCGGACUUAGUGAUCCGGUGGUUCUGCGUGGAAGGGCCAUCGCUCAACGGAUAAAAGCUACCCUGGGGAUAACAGGCUUAUCUCCCCCAAGAGUCCACAUCGACGGGGAGGUUUGGCACCUCGAUGUCGGCUCAUCACAUCCUGGGGCUGUAGUAGGUCCCAAGGGUUGGGCUGUUCGCCCAUUAAAGUGGUACGCGAGCUGGGUUCAGAACGUCGUGAGACAGUUCGGUCCCUAUCCGUCGCAGGCGUAGGAAAUUUGAGAAGACCUGUCCUUAGUACGAGAGGACCGGGAUGGACGUACCUCUGGUGUACCAGUUGUCCUGCCAAGGGCAUGGCUGGGUAGCUAUGU